CGAGCGGCGGACGGGUGAGUAAUGCCUAGGAAUCUGCCUGGUAGUGGGGGAUAACGUCCGGAAACGGGCGCUAAUACCGCAUACGUCCUACGGGAGAAAGUGGGGGAUCUUCGGGCCUCACGCUAUCAGAUGAGCCUAGGUCGGAUUAGCUAGUUGGUGAGGUAAUGGCUCACCAAGGCUACGAUCCGUAACUGGUCUGAGAGGAUGAUCAGUCACACUGGAACUGAGACACGGUCCAGACUCCUACGGGAGGCAGCAGUGGGGAAUAUUGGACAAUGGGCGAAAGCCUGAUCCAGCCAUGCCGCGUGUGUGAAGAAGGUCUUCGGAUUGUAAAGCACUUUAAGUUGGGAGGAAGGGUACUUACCUAAUACGUGAGUAUUUUGACGUUACCGACAGAAUAAGCACCGGCUAACUCUGUGCCAGCAGCCGCGGUAAUACAGAGGGUGCAAGCGUUAAUCGGAAUUACUGGGCGUAAAGCGCGCGUAGGUGGUUUGUUAAGUUGGAUGUGAAAGCCCCGGGCUCAACCUGGGAACUGCAUCCAAAACUGGCAAGCUAGAGUAUGGUAGAGGGUGGUGGAAUUUCCUGUGUAGCGGUGAAAUGCGUA
rnacentral:rRNA from 1 species